rnacentral:rRNA from 1 species
AUUGAACGCUGGCGGCAUGCUUUACACAUGCAAGUCGAACGGCAGCGCGGGGCAACCUGGCGGCGAGUGGCGAACGGGUGAGUAAUACAUCGGAACGUACCCAGAAGUGGGGGAUAACGUAGCGAAAGUUACGCUAAUACCGCAUACGUUCUACGGAAGAAAGUGGGGGACCUUCGGGCCUCAUGCUUUUGGAGCGGCCGAUGUCUGAUUAGCUAGUUGGUGAGGUAAAGGCUCACCAAGGCGACGAUCAGUAGCUGGUCUGAGAGGACGACCAGCCACACUGGAACUGGGAAACGGCCAGACUCCUACGGGAGGCAGCAGUGGGGAAUUUUGGACAAUGGGCGCAAGCCUGAUCCAGCAAUGCCGCGUGAGUGAAGAAGGCCUUCGGGUUGUAAAGCUCUUUUGUCAGGGAAGAAACGGCUGAGGAUAAUACCUUCGGCUAAUGACGGUACCUGAAGAAUAAGCACCGGCUAACUACGUG